rnacentral:rRNA from 1 species
UAGGGAAUCUUCCGCAAUGGGCGAAAGCCUGACGGAGCAACGCCGCGUGAGUGAUGAAGGUCUUCGGAUCGUAAAACUCUGUUAUUAGGGAAGAACAAAUGUGUAAGUAACUAUGCACGUCUUGACGGUACCUAAUCAGAAAGCCACGGCUAACUACGUGCCAGCAGCCGCGGUAAUACGUAGGUGGCAAGCGUUAUCCGGAAUUAUUGGGCGUAAAGCGCGCGUAGGCGGACUUUUAAGUCAGGGGUGAAAUCCCGGGGCUCAACCCCGGAACUGCCUUUGAUACUGGAAGUCUUGAGUAUGGUAGAGGUGAGUGGAAUUCCGAGUGUAGAGGUGAAAUUCGUAGAUAUUCGGAGGAACACCAGUGGCGAAGGCGGCUCACUGGACCAUUACUGACGCUGAGGUGCGAAAGCGUGGGGAGCAAACAGG